AGUUUGUUGAACUCACGUGUGACAAGGGGCAUGCUAUUUGCCAACACAAGAAAACUCCAAAUAUCCGGUAUAGGAUGCUGUUAGUAAAAGCACCCUGGAAUGUGAUGUUCCAAAGGAUACAGAGUGGAGAAGCCGUGACUUAUUACAGGCACCCUGUCACCUCAAUUAAUACAGCAUGCCCACCUUGAGCAAAGGAUGCUCUCAAUCCAAGGAAAGAUUCCAAUGGAUCUCUCUGGCUCUAAUGAGCAACGGAUGAGAAAAAACAGUUGCAGACGUCUGGUGCACACAAGAGAUGGUCCAUAACAGGAGGAACGGUCCAGUGUAUUCAACUUGCCACCAAGUGGUCAGUUCAUUUUCUUGAGAAUUGGUGCCAGUGUUGGCCCCUGUUACUGGCAAGUUAAUCAUCGG